rnacentral:rRNA from 1 species
CCUACGGGCGGCUGCAGUGAGGAAUAUUGGUCAAUGGACGAGAGUCUGAACCAGCCAAGUAGCGUGAAGGAUGACUGCCCUAUGGGUUGUAAACUUCUUUUGUAAGGGAGUAAAACGAGGCACGUGUGCCUCUUUGCAUGUACUUUCUGAAAAAGGAUCGGCUAACUCCGUGCCAGCAGCCGCGGUAAUACGGAGGAUCCGAGAGUUAUCCGGAUUUAUUGGGUUUAAAGGGAGCGUAGAUGGGUUGUUAAGUCAGUUGUGAAAGUUUGCGGCUCAACCGUAAAAUUGCAGUUGAUACUGGCAGUCUUGAGUACAGUUGAGGUAGGCGGAAUUCGUGGUGUAGCGGUGAAAUGCUUAGAUAUCACGCAGAACCCCGAUUGCGAAGGCAGCUUACUAAACUGUGACUGACAUUGAUGCUCGAAAGUGUGGGUAUCAAACAGGAUUAGAUACCCGAGUAGUC